rnacentral:rRNA from 1 species
UACGGAGGGGGCGAGCGUUAUUCGGAAUUAUUGGGCGUAAAGGGCGCGUAGGCGGCUUGAUGUGUCAAAGGUGAAAUCCCUCGGCUCAACUGAGGAACUGCCUUUGAAACUGCCUCGCUUGAAUGCCGGAGAGGAAAGCGGAAUUCUCGGUGUAGAGGUGAAAUUCGUAGAUAUCGAGAGGAACACCGGUGGCGAAGGCGGCUUUCUGGACGGUGAUUGACGCUGAGACGCGAAUGCGUGGGGAGCAAACAGG